rnacentral:lncRNA from 1 species
CUGAGUCCGUCAUUCUUGAGAAGCAAAUUAAACAAGAACAAGAGAGAUGGCAACAGUGAAAAGGAUCAAGCUGGGGUCACAGGGUCUUGAAGUAUCAGCACAGGGACUUGGAUGCAUGGGCAUGUCUGCCGCCUACGGCCCUCCAAAGCCUGAAUCGGACAUGAUCGCACUCAUCCACCAUGCCGUCAACACUGGGGUCACUUUACUCGACACCUCCGAUGUCUAUGGACCCCACACCAACGAAAUCCUUCUGGGCAAGGCCUUGAAGGCGGGAGGAUUACGACAGAGAGUUGAAUUGGCCACCAAAUUUGGCGCCAGCUUUAAGGAUGGCACUUUUGAGUUUCGAGGGGAUCCUGCUUAUGUGAGAGCUGCUUGCGAGGCCAGCUUGAAACGCCUUCAACUUGAAUCCAUUGAUCUUUAUUACCAACAUCGCAUUGAUACCAGCGUUCCUAUUGAAGCUACGGUAUUUCUCUUUAAUUGUUUUUAUUUCUGAAUAUUGUUCUGAUUAAUCUUGAUCGUUCGAUGGCCAUGAUGAUAGUUAGAGAAUUUUUCUUUUACUUGAUGAUAUAUUUUCCAGAAUCUGUGACAGGCAUAUCCAAAAAUCCCUAAAACUUCAUCAUAAACCCACUAAAAUUAUAGAUUAGACAUGGUACUGAUGAUACCGUCAUGCUCAUUAUAUGCAUUGACAUCUUGCAAUGGCCUCUUUCGUAGUUGGAUGCCGACAAUGCUAAUAUUGGGUUCUGUCCCUGCAUUCUAGCUGAAAAAUUUAUUGCAGUCGUGCACUCAUAAUUCUUUUCUUUGCUAGAUGGGGGAACUCAAGAAACUAGUUGAAGAAGGUAAAAUAAAGUAUAUAGGUCUGUCUGAGGCCUCUGCUUCAACAAUCAGACGAGCUCACGCUGUUCAUCCGAUCACAGCCGUGCAGUUGGAGUGGUCACUGUGGUCAAGAGAUGUGGAGGAAGAGAUUGUUCCUACCUGCAGGUGAGGCAUUGAUGAGAAAAACUAAUUUCCUUUGGAGAUCAAAAUAACCCAAACCUUAGGCUGUUUAUGGGAUGCCUUAGAUAUCCAGAUUCUGAUCUUAUCAUUCUAAUGGUUCAGAGAACUUGGCAUUGGGAUUGUUGCUUACAGUCCUCUAGGACAGGGAUUCUUUUCCUCUGGGCCUAAGUUGGUUGAGAGCCUUACAGAUGGUGACUUCAGAAAGGUAGGUUCUUUUCUUUUUUAACAUAGAGUUUGUGAUCUGUGGAAUACAUGUCCAGUAAUUAAAUAACCAAUUGGUUAGCUUAGAUGCCUCAAAACACUAGUCUCUUCCAUCUUAUGGAUUGGUUUGGUGGUCUAAACUCCAUUGAAGAAACUUGCACAAAGUAAAAGUUUAGCUUUGAGAUCAUUAUAUUUUUACCUAGCAGUUCCUUCACAUUUGCAUUAUUCCUACAAAUAUGCUAUACACUUGGAUUGCUUAAAGAUUCAAUCAAAUAAAACACAGAUUUACAGGAUCUCCUUGUAUUAGACAGGUGCCUUUAGUUUGUCCCAUGCAUGUCCAAACAAAAAGUUCUGCAUACUUAAUGUUUUGCUUAAAUCGUUCUCUCUGAUAUUCAAUCUUCAGUACUUUUGAAUUCCUAAAAUCUGCUCACUCGCCUUGUACAUGGGAAUUUGGCGUGCUUGCACCCAUAAAAAACUGCGUGGUAUACAAUAUCAUGAUGGUUUGCGUUUAGUACUAGGAUUAAUGUUUUGUUGUGGCAAAAAGGACAUGUUACAUGUACAUGUGGAAUGUUGCAUAAACUGUAAUCUAUGAUGCUUUCUUCUUGAUGAGUUGUUUCAGCUUAGCUGCUGAAAUUAACUAGUGUUUCAAUUGUCUCAGGGUUUGCCUAGGUUCCGACCUGAAAAUCUUGAACAUAAUUCACAACUAUUUGAGCGGGUUAAGGAAAUGGCAGCAAGGAAACAGUGCACUUCAUCGCAGCUGGCGUUGGCCUGGGUACACCACCAGGGUGAUGAUGUAUGUCCUAUUCCUGGAACCACCAAGAUCGAAAACUUCAACCAGAAUGUUGGAGCUCUGUCUGUCAAACUAACGCCAGAAGAAAUGGCUGAACUCGAAUCAAUAGCUUCUUCGGAUGCUGUAAGAGGAGAUAGGUAUGGCGUUGGCAUGCUUACAUUCAAGGAUUCAGAUACUCCACCUCUUACAUCAUGGAAAGCUGUAUAGAAGGCAUGCUGCCAUACCAUCCUGUCUUGCUUCUACUCGUGGAUUUCAGCUCCCUUUGAAGUUUUCUAAAACUGUGAGAGUUUGUAAACCAUCUGAACUUCUGAAGAGAAUAAGAGUUUGUACACCAUCUGAACUUCUGAAGAUAAUAAAUGUUUUCGUAAUCUAAAAGUAUUGCAACUUUCUUUUAGCUUUGCUAUAAAAAGAUGGUGUUCCUUAGUUUGUCCUCGUAGAAAUUUCUAAUUGUUGAUAGUGAUCAGAACCUCUGUGUUAUACCUGUCAUUCUCGAUUUAAAGACUUACCUAGAAAAUAGUUGUCCUCAUUUAUUUAUUUUUUUAUUGAAUCAGAAAGCUAGGUUUGAAUUAGAUUUAGCGAGAUUAAAUGGAUCAUUAAAAAUCUAGUCGGAUUUAACAACUAUAUUUUAUGCUAAAAACUUGGCUCUGGUUUGUGAUCAUGCACUCAUUGAAGGUUCUAUAUAGUCUAGCAUUUGCAUGUCAAUGGCUGUUUGCGUUGGGAUUUCAAUGUGUGUCCAAAAGAGAGUCAUGUCAUUGCCUUGACUUGUUAGUUUAAUAUAUUAUGUACUUAUAUAAUAAUAUUAUUAUAUUUAUGUAAAUAUAUAUUUGUUAUUAAUAAAAAGUUAAUUUAUCACUAAUAUUUAUAUAAUAUUAUAUUAAUAAAUUUAAUAUUUGAUUUAUGAAUCUAGAGUAAAGAUAAUGUUUAUGCUAAAAAAAUGUUUUGCAAAUGAAAUUAUAAAGUUGUUAUAAUUAUGAGAUUACUAUGACAUGAAAGCAUUGAUCUUAAAAUGUUUAUGGUCGAGAUGCUCUCUUACCUAUUAUAUAUAUAUAUAUAUAUUUUUUUGUGAAAGGAAGUGGUUGUUCUCAUAAGCUGAGUUAUAAAGAAUACCUAAAACUAAUAUGUAGAUAGUUAUCAUAGGAUAUAUAUACUAACUUGACCCGCAUGAGGAUUCUAUAUGAAGAGAUUAUAUAUGUCUAUGGAAAGGCUCAUGAUUAGUACUUAAAAUUGUAUUUUUAUCAAGGUUUUAUAUCAUUAUUUUGCACUUGAAAUAUCAAUAACUUCUUAACUAAAGCAUGUUUUAUAAUAAUAUAACUAAUAAUAUAAGAUACUUUUAAUUUAUAGUAAAUAUUCAUCUUAAAUGCAGGUCUAUCACAUAGAUAAAAGGAUUGAUUAAGGAGUUUAAGUAUUAAAAUUGAAAAGACAAAGAAAGGGCCAAACUUAGAAAAAAGAUGUUAGUGCAGUCCAAACUGGAAUACUGUUCGGUAAUUGGGUCAUAUCUUGAGUUUUAGAUGUCCAAAUGACUUUAAAUGUUUAGACAAAUUCGGUAAGACAUAGACCUACAACUUUCAUGUGGAGUCCAAGAUUUAAAAAGACCGUUUUCAAGUCCAAGUUAUAGCAACAACAGAGAAGUUCAGAUUUGUCAUGCAUCCUAGACACUGUUCAGUGUUCAUCCCAUAUCUCGAGCUAAAAUUCCAAAUGACCUCAAUUUUUUUUCCUGAAGGAUAAGACAAUUUUCUAUAACUUUCAUGAGUAUAGGUGAUUCCAAUUUUGAUGCUAACAAUGACAUUUUAUUCAGACAAGAAGAUAAGGAUUUUCACCAAGUCAAGAGUUGGCCACCCACUCAACAAUUAGUCAUCAAAUCAAUAGUUUCAAAUUUUAGCCUAUAAAAGGAGGCAUUUGCCAUGUAUUUAGGGGCUUGGUUGUUUAGAUCAAGAACUUGUUAUUGCUCUCUCUCUUUAUAUAUAUAUAAGUUUUGCUUUCAUUAAUAUCUUGUUUAUACUUUUCAUUUCCUUUCCUUUAUUUAGUUAACUUGUAUCUUAUAUAUAUUUUUCAAUUUAUUCUAUUAUACAAUAUCUUUUUAUUUUUCAAUUAAGAAAAAUCAUGAUAUAAUGCAAACACUUCCUUCUCUUACAUUAUAAAUUGAAUUGAAAUUCUACAUAAAAUAACAAGGAAAUGAAUACAACACCUAUUGCACUUAAAAGUGAAUUAUAAAAUAAAAUUAAAUAAGAGAGAUCAAACAUUUAUUUAUUAUAGUUGUGACACAAUUCAUCAAGGAUUAACAUAUAAAUUGUUUUUUUCCCUUCUCCACACAAACCAAAAGAAUGGCUAGUAGGUGUAGAAUUAUCUUUUCCAAUAGAUCUAUUGUGCAUUGCAAAAUUAGUUGGGGAUAAAUUGGUUAGUAUAUUUUUGUUUUCACUAUCAUAUUACUUUGUCUUUUUAUUAUUAUUUGCACAAUAAAACUACACUUAUAUCUUUUAGAGAAAAUAACCAUUAAAAUAGGGUUUUUUUUUUGUAUUUUUAGUUUUUUGAACAAUGAAGUUACAGUAUUACCUUAAAAUCAAAAAAAUAUACAUCUAUUUUAAAGGGUAAUUUUGGUUUUUACUUAUGGGUUUUUUUGUUAUUUUUAGGUUGGUCUAAGGGUUUUUUGUCAUUUUAAAAGACUAAAUAUUAUUACAAAAAACAAAUUGUUGAUGCAUUAGUGCAUGAUGAUUCCCGCGAGAGGCGCAUGUAGGGCCUUCCAAUUAUCAAAUCCCACCAUAUAAGGCAGUGUUAAGAGAGGCUCAUCAUGCUUUUUUUAGUAGUGUGGUGCAUGCUUUUGGAGGAGGCAUAGUUAACAAGCCUUUUUUUUCUCCUUUCUUUUCUUUUUCCUAACCUAAAACUUUAUGCCAGCCCAUCCAAAAAAUAAUUUUGUCCUUCAUUUUGUAUUUCUAUUAAUCUUGGCUCUCAUUCUUUGAAUUACUAUUUGUUUUGUUUUAAUAUUUUUUUUGGAUUUUAGUUUUUUAUUUAUUUCAUCCCUGAGAAUUUUAUUUCAUUUAAUUUUUGUAUCUAAUUUGAUCCUCAUUAAUUUUAUUACUCUUUAUUAGUGUUUUAUCCUUUUCUUGAUUUUUUUUAGUUUUUUCAAUUUCAUCCUUAAUUAUCUCAGGAUUUGCCUAGGUUCCGACCAGAAAAUCUUGAACAUAAUACACAACUAUUUGAGUGAGUUAAGGAAAAAUUUAUUGUAAUUAUAACUCUCAACCAACUCAAUAUUAAAAAAAUAAAAUAAAAAAAUCAUAAAAAAAACAUGUGGGAAAACACUGUAGCAAUCCAUAGUGUUUUAAAAAAUAUAUAUGAAGCUAAAUUCUAACCAGCUCAAUAUUAAAAAAAAAUCGACAAAGAUAAUUUUUGAAAAAAAUUAUAUAUAAAAAAAAAAGCACAAGAAAAGAAAAUAAAAAUGUCAUGUGGGGAAACACUGUAGCAAUCCACAAUGUUUUAAAGAAAAAAAAUUACAAAGGUAAAUUCUCAACGAGGUCAAUAUUAAAAAAUUAAUCUAAAAAUAUAAUUUUGAAAAAAAAUCAUAAAAAAACCAUGUGUAGAAACACUGUAGCAAUCCACAAUAUUUUGUGAGAAAAGCCAUAAUUGUAAUUCUUAACCAGCCCAAUGGUGAAAACUAAAAAAAAAAACAAAAUAAAUAAAUAAAUAAUAUUGUAGCGUAACAUAAUAUGAUACAUAUAUGUAAUGAGAUACCAAGAAAUCCAAAUUCAUUUCAUUAUUUAUAUGUUGAAUAGUCAACAGACAAUGAAUCUUAAGUAGCAGCUCUGAUACAACAAUUGUAAGACAUAUACUCUAACAGAGUGGCUUAACACAACCAACCUUUUAAGCAUUUACCAGCUACUCACUGGAGUGUCAUGUCUUAUCAGAUGAUAACAAAAGCUUCUAGUUUAAAAUGUAAAGAGGUAAAAGAGCUUGAAGAACAGAGAAUUAGAAAAGCAAGUUCUUUAUUGAAGAGGCUUCUAGUCUACCAUCUUAAGGUUCUACCAUUACAACAUUACACACAGCCUCUAUAUAUAGUACUUUGAGGCUUUUGCUGACAUCAUUCAUUACAUCAGAAAGCAUUAAAGCACACUUAAUAAUGCACCCUUACAUGACUUAUGACACAAAUGACAAGCUAGUACAACACCAAUAUCAAUCGACAACACUAAUAUCAACCGACAAUAGGUUCAUGAUCUAGAGAGAGAUUUUGGUCUGACAGGUUAUCCUGAUCACGAAUAGUUUGGACUUAUAGGGCCAGCACAUAGUCAUCUUCUGCAAGUAUUUCCAUCUCAUGUGGUUCCAGAAGCUUUGGUAUUCCCAAAAUUAUUUAUUUGAGUUUUUUUUUUUUUGUACUGCCUCUGCAAGUUAUGAAGAUAAGCAGAAUAUUGAUAGUCAUAUAGAUCAUAGUCAAUUUCUUCAACAGGAUCUAUUUCUUUAAGCCAUAUUUCAUCAAGAAUAAUGUUGUUUUUAAGGCACACUAUUUUUUGCAAGGUCCUGAUGUCCUGGAGGUUAUCUAAGGGGUUUUCAUACAGGAGUAUGGAUGAGUUUUGUAUACUGCAGCCUGUGAAAAACUCAUAACCAUAUUGUCUGCUGAAGCUUUGAAAGGCAUGUGGAAUAUGAAAACAGAGAAUAGAUGGGAAAAAGCUUGCUUAACAGAUUUAUUACAAAGUGUACUGCGAUGUACUUCAAUCCAGCAGGUUUAUGCAUAGGGCUAUUUGGAUUUUUCCUGUUGGAGAAGAGAGAUCCAUUAUGUGGGGUUGUAGAACCACGUAAGGAACUUUAGAGUAUAGUUCCAAGAGUCUGCUAGCCAAGAUGUCCUGAGAAAUCUAGAACGAAAAAAAUUGGUGGGAAACUCAAUAACAAUAUGGUACAGGUGACAAAAAUACCAUAAGAAAAAGUAGAGUUCUUUGGGGAACAAUCCAGCAGGUUUGAAGGUGAAGAGGUGAAUGAAAGGAUAUUUAGGAUGGAUGCCUAAGCUUUUGAAACAAGGGGAAGACAUAUCAUAGUUGAGAAGAAGGUAGUCUUGGAGGCUAAAUAGUUUAUCUUUUGCUUGUAGGUCAAGAGUGUGGUUAAGAACCAUAUCUUGAGCAAGAAGGGGUAAGUCAUAUGCAGGGAAUUCUUGUUCAGGUGGAGGAAGAGUGGAAGAUAAGGCCAUAAGAAUCAGGGAAAUGAGUAGUGUUUAUGAUUUGGGUGGUCUGGUGAGCAUGUCUGGGAUCAAGUUCUUGUUCCUUUUUAUAUGCUCAACAGUGAAGGUGUACUUGGAAAACCACUCAGCUAAUCUCAGAAGCUAUGGAUGAGGAAGCAUCUUGCGCUUAAACUAUAACAUUUUUUGAAAUAAGGAACAGUCCAUGACAACUGUAAAGUGAUAGGCUGCUAGGUGAAACUCAAAUUUUUGGAUGCCAUACUUUACAAUUAAGAUUUCCCUGAAAGUGGAGUGGUAGUGGGUUUCUGACUCUUUGAAUGACUCACUUUUAUAGCCAUAUAUGUGUCGAUGGCCAUCUUUUUCUUCUAGGAGUACAACACUCCAAUACUUAUCAUUGGCAUCAGGUUAGAGUAUGCUUGUUCUAUUUAUAGAAUGACUAAAGCAGGUAAAUUUUGUGUGGGUGUCUUUAAUUAUCUGACAGCUUGAGUUUGCUUUUUUGUCUAAGAGUCUGCAUCUUUCUUGAGCAUGAGCUGAAAUGGCCUUGUCAUCUGUGCAACUCUAAGGAUAAAAUUUUUGAGAUAUUGGACAAUUUCCAAAAACUAUUGGACUUGCUUUCUUGUGAGGGGGCAUCUAAAAACUUUUAGAGUUCUUCAGCUAUAUAAGUGUCAGGUGUAUAAGCACCAUCUGCAAAGAUCAUACCAAGAAAUUUGAUUUUCUUUUGACAGAUGAGCUUCUUACUUUCAAAAAGCAUGAUACCAUGGUAGGGAACAAUCUCUGUAAAUUGCUUUAACAAAGUAGCAUGUGACUCUCAUCUUUGGAGAAAAGUAACACAUCAUCAAUGUAGAUUAAAGUUGAUCGAAUCAUGGGUUCAAAUACUUUAAUCAUGGCCUUUUGAAAUAAUAAGGGUACCACUUUGAGACCAAAAGGUAUGACUCGCCAUUGAUAAUGAUGGUCUGGUAUGUAUAAACCUGUUUUGUAUCUAUCUUUAGGAUGAAUGCCAAGUUGCCAAAAUCCGGUCUUGAGAUCAAACUUGGAGAAAACUUUGGCAUUGUAAAGGCAUAAGAAUAAUGUCAUUAUGUUUGGCAAAGGGAACUUAUCAUCUUGUAGGAAAUGAUUCAAGGGCUGAUAAUUAAUUACCAAUCUGAGCUUGCCUUGUUUUUGUUCAAACCUUUUAUUAACAUAAAAGGCUUCACAAGACCAUUAUGAGUCUGUAGGUUCAAUGAGACCUUAGGCCUGUAGCUGGACACAUUCAUCUUGAGCUAGAGUCUUGUGCUCAGGAUUCAUUCCUGAAUGACUGGCUUUCGUGGGAUUAAUGUCUUCAUUAUACUUGAGAGGAAGCUAAAUAAAAAAUAAAAAUAAAAACUAUAGAUUUUGCCAUUAUGUUUAGCAAGAAAUUCUUGAUGAGAGUUUGAACAUGAGUGUUGGAUAAUUUGGGCUUUGAUGAGGGAAAUGGUUUCUGUGAGAGAGGGUUGGAUUUCAUAGAGUGAAGGGAUAAUUGUAUAUGAGAGAAAAUGGGCUUUAUACUGAAUACCACGAGGAAGGAUUCUGAACUUGGAUUUGAAAUAAACAUCAAACCCAAUAACUAAAUCUUUACCAUGUAAAAAAAAACCAAGGACAUGGGUUUUGACUGAACAUUAGGGCAUGAUUUGUAUGGUAAUGGGCUUUUUAAUUUUGAAGUGGGUGUAUAAUACUUGAUCAUCUACAGCUCAAAAGUAUUCUGUAUGUGGGACCCAACAAUGUAUUGGAAGAACUUUAGGGUUAAGAAUGGUUCUAUGGGCUCUUGUGUCAAAUAAGGCUAUGGCUUUGAUGGGCUUAGCAUAUGUGGAGGUAAGAAUGGUAACAGGGGCUUAGCAUAGUCGUAGACGUAACCGUGGGCAUUACUAAGGGUGUAACUGCUUGUGUAGCCAUGUGGGUGCAUAAUUGUGGGCAUAACCACAAGCAUAACUACUAGGAUGUCAUUGGCGCAACCAUAGACACAGUCACUGACACUAGCCAUUAGAAGGGCUUUUGAGAAAUAUGAAUAAACUAGCUUUUUAUUUAGUUUCCACAAAUGGUGUCAAUGAUGAGGUCCUAAAAAAUCCAUGUAGCUUAGGAGCAUGACUUAUAUAUUGGAUAAUCAAUUCAUUUCUUGGUUCUAGCAAUCUGAUCAAUUCUCUCUAGCCAAGGUGAUUGGUAGCUUCCACCUCGUGCCUGGUAAGUUAGGGUGAGAAUGAAGAGAUUAUGAUCUUAGAGCUUGAAAGAUUCAUGGGGUAAUUAUAGCUUAUAAGUCUUAUUAUUUUAUAGAGAAAAAUGGUUGAAUUAUUUCAUCCCUAAAAUAUUUUGAGUUAUAUUUCACUCAAAAUAAUAUGUAUUGAAUUAAUAUAAAAUAUUGAGAAAUCUGUAUGGGUCCUGAAAAAUUACCGAGGAAUUGUUGGGCUCAAACAAGUUGAUUAAACCAUUUGGAGCAAAAAAUUAAUCUAGAUGCAUUUCCUGAAGCUCAUAGUCAUUGGGGAUUUUAAGCUGAUUAAAUUUAAAUUUAUCACUUCCUAUAAACUUUAAAGAAGUGAGAUGCUUCAGUUUCAUUCUAGAGGUAUAGAAUUAGUUUUACUAGUGGGUAUAGAAUGUAUGGUUAAAGGGUUCUCUUUUCUUUACGCAAACAAUUGGUAGGACUUCUUUUCACGCAUGCUAGGGGUGAUAUUUUUAACCAUUUGUUUUGACUUGAAAAAACUUCAUUUACCCUACCUUGCAAUUCCAUUUAUACAAGCACUUGUUUAUUUUUAUAUUUUAAAAAUAUUUUUGAUUAGUUCUUUUUAUAUUUUUAAAUUAUUUUAAUAUAUAAAUAUUAAAAAUAAUUGCUAAAAUAGUUACUACUGCAUUAGGAUUUUAUCAUAUGUGGCAUAAUCAUGGGUAUAACCAAAAGCAUAAUUGCUAGCAUGUCAUUGCAAUAAUUGUAAAUAAUGAAUGACAUAGCCACCACUACGUUAGGAUUUUUUCAGCCGUUAAAAAUGCUUUUGAGAAAUAUAAAUAAUCUAGCUUUUUGUUUAGUUAUCAUAAAUAGUACCAAGUAGUGGGGGUGGUUCACGCUGACGUUAAUGUUUUUGGCAUAAAAAAAUAUUAAUAUUUAAAAGUUAGUUUUAUCUGUAAAGUAAAACCAAGACUCUUAAUCUGACUGUAACCCAAUAUUAUUAAUCUGACUGUAACCCAAUAUUAAUAUUUUUAAUAUUAAUAAUAAUAUUAAACUUGUUAGAUCUAAAUUCUUAUAUUUUUUUAUUUUUUUAAAUCAAAUUUAUAGUUUUUUUUUUAUACUAAUAAUUUUUUUUAAAAACAUUAUUAAUUAUAAUGAUAAUGAUAACAAUAAAAAUAAUAAUAAAAAUAAGAAUAAAACUAAUGAUUAUAAACUUAGAUAUGACGUCCCAGCUAGACCCAAGUUUGAGUCUAGUUAACCUAAUAAAAAUAAAAUAAAUAAUAUUUAUAAUAAUAACAAUAACAAUAAUAAUAUUAAAUAUAUUUGACCUAAAUUCUUAUAAUUUUUGAUCUCUUCGAAUAAAAUUUUAUAGUUUUUCUACAAUAAUAAUAAUAUUAUUUUUUUCAAAAUUAAUAAUAAUAACAAUAUUAAUAAUAAAAAUAAUAUUAAUAAUUAUAUUAUAAUAAAAACAACAACAGCAACAAUAAUAAUUUUUAAUUUUACUCUUUAAAUCAAAUCUAUUCAUACUAACCGCUGUUCAUGUAAUGGAGCGCAAGCUCUAACAUCAUUUGAGUUACGUUGAUGCUUACGUUAGAAAUUGUUCUUGGAUGACUACGAAGUCUCUUCAUUCACUUCCUCUAUUUAUGGCAGUUUCCUUUUAUUUGCUAGGCUGAGCCGAGAACUCGUACACACACUGAGUCCGUCAUUCUUGAGAAGCAAAUUAAACAAGAACAAGAGAGAUGGCAACAGUGAGAAGGAUCAAGCUGGGGUCACAGGGACUUGAAGUAUCAGCACAGGGACUUGGAUGCUUGGGCAUGUCUGCCGACUACGGCCUUCCAAAACCUGAAUCGGACAUGAUAGCCCUCAUCCACCACGCCGUCAACACUGGGGUCACUUUACUCGACACCGCCGAUGUCUAUGGACCCCACACCAACGAAAUCCUUCUGGGCAAGGCCUUGAAGGCGGGAGGAUUACGACAGAGAGUUGAAUUG